rnacentral:rRNA from 1 species
UGCGUAGGCGGAAGAUUAAGUCAGUGAUGAAAUCCUGCAGCUCAACUGUAGAACUGUCAUUGAUACUGAUUUUCUUGAAUACAGUUGAGGUAGGCGGAAUAUGUAAUGUAGCGGUGAAAUGCUUAGAUAUUACAUAGAACACCAAUUGCGAAGGCAGCUUACUAGACUGUGAUUGACGCUGAGGCACGAAAGCGUGGGGAGCGAACAGGAUUAGAUACCCUGGUAGUCC